CCGCCCCCUGCCGGAAGCACGGCCCGCCCCGCCCAGCGGCCCAGGAACACCGGGCAGCCGCCCCCUUGUUCUCAGGGGGCCGAAGCUGCAACAGUGUAAAGCCGUGCUGACCCUUUUCCCCCCCGGCAGCUGCAAUAAUGGGAUUUCUCAGUGAAGCUCUGUAUUUGAUGUUUGUACUGAUGUGUUUCCACUGGGAGGCCACUGGUGGUGCACUGUGUCACAAGGGAGCUCACUGCAGAGGCUUUGGGGUUUGGCGAGCGCUCCUUCACUGUGCAGCAGAGCGGCCGUGCCGAGGCCCGGGCGGUGGAAGGCCGAGCGGCUGUCAGCUCAACACCCACCCGCUGGGCCCUGCCGAGAGCGGCUCCCUCCGCUCAUCCCCGCCCUACCCGCGCUGGUCUCUCCAGUACCUGCUCCAGACCUUUAUCCCCCCUGGAAACUUGGCUGUUGAGCCCGGAGUCUCUGCAGAUCUCCAGGCUAGAUCCCAGAUCAGUUGCCCUGGCUCGGAGUUCUCUGGCGGCACACAGACAACAGAGAGUUUAUCUGGAACCUGGAGUUGGCCAGGCAGGUGUGGUCACCUGCAGCUUGUUUUCACACAGCUGGCCCCAGUGUCCCACUGCCUCUCUGUUUUCCUGUGCUUGUUCAUCUAUAAUGUACCUUCAUCACACCCGUUUCCCUAAACAUCUCUAAAGCAUUUUUGCGCAGUCAUAUAAACACCCAGAAAUACCCCAUAAUGACUGUUCUUUCCUGACAAAUAUGUUAUCAUCUUUCCCCCUCAUCAGUUAAAAAGUUCCAGUUUAAUCUCUAUGGGAUGGAAUGUUUGCUUCAGUGGCCUAUCAGAGGCCUGGUCUUUGUCACAGUCUCGGUUUCCUCCUGGGUUUGUGUGUCUGGGGCUUACCUACCUUCUGUGUGUUGCCCAAGUCUUGCAUGUUAAACAGCUGUUAAUCCUUCCAGCCUGUACUUCUGAAAAGAAGGAUGUCUGUGGAUAUGAAACAGGGUGAAAGGUAGAGAAAGACAAUUCUAUGUAAUUAUUUUCUCCCUUAAAAAAAAAGAAAUACUAUGUUGAUUAUAAAUGUACCUCAGUAUGGUGGGUGUCCCAUUUUGUCCAAUAAACGAUGACCUACCUGCUAUCCAGAACAGCUUCCAUUCUCCUGCAUGGAAUCAAAUGCACAUUUUCAAGAAGUGUAGAGUAUUGCUCUUGUCUAUACUCUGUCUGGCUUGCUGACUAUUCUAAUAUAUAAAAGGAAUUGUUAUGCUGCCAAUGGAAAUGAUAAGCCUUAAUGCUGUCUUUUGAGAGUCUGAUCCCAGUUGGCCACAUUCUGGAAGUAUCUGUCUCAAGUAAUGGCCUACCAAAUAAAGGAUGUUUUUAUUAUACUACCUCUAUCUUUUGUAACAUAUAACACUAUUUCUGGUACAUAUUACAGAAUAUAUUUGCUGUAUACUCUUAUGUAUGCUGUAUGAUUCCAAAUACAGAAUAUUUAAUUUUG